UAUGAGCCAAACUUGGGACGUUUGGUUUUUAGCAGGUGUGACCGUCUGGGCAGCAGAAACAAGACAACUAAUCAUAGUCCUCCUGAUCAUUCUGUUCUCCUGGUUGUGAGGAUGUGCAGAGGCUGUAUUUGUCAGUGUUAAAAGACUUGUGCAGCUGUAUCCAGACAAACAAGCAGCCGACAAAGAGUUCUGGAGCAGGACAGACAGGGCAGCACGGUGGCGCAGAGGGUAGCACGUUUGCCUCACAGCAAGAAGGUUGCUGCUUCAAGCUUCGGCUGGAUUGGUGUACGCUGAUGGUCUGCUGAGAAUUCUGCUGAGUUGAAGGGAUCCUCCUGUCAGACAACCUCUCCAAAGUACAAUAGGACUAGGUUCCCACUACAAGGAUUAGAUUUGGCUACUGCAGUCCCGGUUUGGGCCAGCCUCACUUG